rnacentral:rRNA from 1 species
UGGGGAAUUUUGGACAAUGGGCGAAAGCCUGAUCCAGCAAUNGCCGCGUGUGAUGAAGCAAGGCCUUCGGGUUGUAAAGCACUUUUGUCCGGAAAGAAAUCCUUGGCUCUAAUACAGUCGGGGAUGACGGUACCGGAAGAAUAAGCACCGGCUAACUACGUGCCAGCAGCCGCGGUAAUACGUAGGGUGCAAGCGUUAAUCGGAAUUACUGGGCGUAAAGCGUGCGCAGGCGGUUUGCUAAGACCGAUGUGAAAUCCCCGGGCUCAACCUGGGAACUGCAUUGGUGACUGGCAGGCUAGAGUAUGGCAGAGGGGGGUAGAAUUCCACGUGUAGCAGUGAAAUGCGUAGAGAUGUGGAGGAAUACCGAUGGCGAAGGCAGCCCCCUGGGCCAAUACUGACGCUCAUGCACGAAAGCGUGGGGAGCAAACAGGAUUAGAUACCCUGGUAGUCCACGCCCUAAACGAUGUCAACUAGUUGUUGGGGGAUUUGCAUUUCCUUAGUAACGUAGCUAACGCGUGAAGUUGACCGCCUGGGGAGUACGGUCGCAAGAUUAAAACUUAAAUGAAUUGACGG